GAAAUGCGAUAAGUAAUGUGAAUUGCAGAAUUCAGUGAAUCAUCGAAUCUUUGAACGCACCUUGCGCUCCUUGGUAUUCCUUGGAGCAUGCCUGUUUGAGUAUCAUGAAAUCUUCAAAGUAAAUCUUUUGUUAACUCAAUUGGUUUCUACUUUGGUAUUGGAGGUCUUUGCAGCUUCACACCUGCUCCUCUUUGUUCAUUAGCUGGAUCUCAGUGUUAUGCUUGGUUCCACUCGGCGUGAUAAGUUAUCUAUCGCUGAGGACACUGUAAAAGGUGGCCAAGGUAAAUGCAGAUGAACCGCUUCUAAUAGUCCAUUGACUUGGACAAUACUUUUAUGAUCUGAUCUCAAAUCAGGUGGACUACCCGCUGAACUUAAGC
rnacentral:misc_RNA from 1 species